AGGAUGAACGCUGGCGGUGUGCCUAAUACAUGCAAGUCGAACGAGAUCUUCGGAUCUAGUGGCGGACGGGUGAGUAACACGUUGGUACCUACCCCUAAGUGGGGAAUAACUGCCCGAAAGGGUGGCUAAUACCGCAUAAUCCCGCAAGGGUAAAGCAGUAAUGCGCUUAGGGAGGGGCCUGCGUCUGAUUAGCUAGUUGGUAGGGUAAAAGCCUACCAAGGCGACGAUCAGUAGCUGGUUCGAGAGGAUGACCAGCCACACUGGGACUGAGAUACGGCCCAGACUCCUACGGGAGGCAGCAGUUGGGAAUCUUGGACAAUGGGGGAAACCCUGAUCCAGCCAUGCCGCGUGAGUGAUGAAGGCCUUCGGGUUGUAAAACUCUUUCGACGGGGACGAUAAUGACGGUACCGUAGAAGAGCUCGGCUAACUCGUGCCAGCAGCCGC
rnacentral:rRNA from 1 species